GCACCCUUCCAGAACGUUCGGUCCUGUUCGGAGCGGACCGUCGCCGUGCCGGUGCCGCGUGCUCUGUCCGCGCCACUCUGCGCCACUCUCUGUCGAGCCGAGUUGUGAGUGACACGUAGUGAAUGUGAGUAAAUGUGAGUGAGAGUCGUAAGAGACAGAAAGCCACUUGUGUGAAGAAGAAGAAGAAGCAGCGACACCGGCAACACGUGAUUCGCAAGCAAUUGUAAGAAGAUAAUUAUUUGAACCUUUGACAAUUUUAUACCAUUUUAUAUUGUCGAACUCUAUUUCACUGAAACCUCGCCAUCACUGACGACAAGUUUAAAUUAAUUUGUGGAUCUUAACCCUGCUAAUUUGUGACAUUUGUCCAGCCUUGGGAAGAAAUAUUGUUAUAUUAUAUAUAACUGACCCUCUUGCUCCAGGAGUUAAUUUUAGGUCUUUGACCCUUUUUGAGUCGAAAAUCCUAUAGGGGUCUCUGAAGAAGAAGAAUUGUAAGAAGAAAAAAAGAAGGAAAGGAAAUAGGUUGGUAGACAGAUAGAUGUAGAGAUAGAAAGAGAGAGGGGAAAGAAAGAGUCUCGACUUUUGUGGAAAGAAGAACUAGAAAAAGAAGCAGAAGGAGAAACAGCGAUUUUUAUAGAAAGAAGGAGCGGAGAGAGAGAGAGAGAGAAAAGGAAAAGUGUGUAGAAAGAAGUAAUAAAGAAAUAUAUCAGUUAAGAUGGAAACGCUCUUAAAGGAAUUGGCUGUAGAACUAUAUGAUAUUCAUGCCAUAAAAUUCGGAGAAUUUAAGACGAAAAUCGGCUUAAUUACACCGAUAUAUUUUGACUUGCGUAUGAUAAUUUCUUAUCCGAAAUUAAUGCUGAAGUUAUCAAAAGCUUUAUGGACAUUGGUAGACAACCCUACCAAAGUGUCCCGAAUCUGUGGUGUCCCAUAUACAGCACUACCAUUAACUACCUUGAUAUCAGCGCAGGAAGAGAUUCCCAUGUUAAUGAAGAGAAAAGAAGCAAAGUCAUAUGGUACAAAGAAAUUAAUAGAGGGUAUCUUCUCACCUGGCGAGAACUGCAUAAUCAUCGAGGAUAUUAUAACAAGUGGUAGCAGCAUUUUAGAGACUGUCGAUGCCUUAAAGAAGGAAAACUUGAAUGUGAGGGAGGCCUAUGUGAUAAUUGAUAGAGAACAAGGUGGUAGAAAGAAUCUCGAAAAUCAUGGGAUCAAAGUUAAGAGUCUCUUUGUGAUAACGCAAUUCAUGAAGUAUCUUCUCGAGGCUGGAAAGGUUACGUCUGAAAUCGUCAAGGAUGUUAAUAAUUAUUUGGCAACGAAUCGGGCACCAAGCAUUUCCGUUCAAGAUGUGCCAGAUGACAGAUUGAAACUGCCAUAUAGUAAACGCGCCAAGCUAACGACGAAUCUAUUGGCCUUUGAGCUGUUUGAGCUAAUGGAAUCGAAACAAACUAAUCUUUGCUUGGCGGCCGAUUUAAAGGAAACGGACGCGAUUUUGGAAUUGGCGAACAUAGCAGGGCCUCAUAUCGCAGUGCUAAAGACUCAUGUGGAUGUCGUAGAGGAUUUCAGUGAGAGCUUUGUUCUUCGGCUUAAAGAAUUGGCAACGCAGCACAAAUUUCUGUUGAUGGAAGAUCGUAAAUUUGGCGAUAUCGGCAAUACGGUAUCGUUACAGUACAGACAUGGCCUGUACAAGAUUGCCGAAUGGGCCGAUUUGAUCACGGUGCAUCCGGUAUCGGGCGCAUCUGUCGUCAACGCGCUUAAAAAAGGUCUAGAGAACAUCACCGAGCCGCGCGGCAUUUUCCUCGUCGCCGAGAUGUCGAGCAAAGGUGCACUGACUACCGGUGAUUAUCUGAAGAGCGCGGUUUCGAUGGCGGAGGAAGCUUCUGAUCUGGUGGUAGGUCUCGUGUGUCAAUCCAAUCUCACAGCGCAACCCGGACUAGUUCAGUUAACGCCUGGUGUCAAACUGUCUAAAAGCGGGGACAGUCUAGAUCAGCAAUAUAACGAUCCGCGAUCGAUUAUCAAUGCUGGUGCCGAUUUAGCAGUCGUCGGUAGAGGUAUCACGGAAUCGCCUCAUGGUUAUUUAAAGGCCAUUUUAGAAUAUAAAAGACAACUGUGGAACGCGUACGAGGAACGAAUAAACAUAAUCAAUAUGUGAUAGUAUAUAUAAAUAUAUAAUACAUUGUAUAUUAAACUUUGUAAAAGUAAUGUAUAUUAAGAGGAUGCUAA
rnacentral:lncRNA from 1 species